rnacentral:rRNA from 1 species
GUUGUUCGGAAUUACUGGGCGUAAAGGGCGCGUAGGCGGCCUGUUAAGUCGGACGUGAAAUCCCCGGGCUCAACCCGGGAACUGCGUCCGAUACUGGCAGGCUUGAAUCCGGGAGAGGGAUGUGGAAUUCCAGGUGUAGCGGUGAAAUGCGUAGAUAUCUGGAGGAACACCGGUGGCGAAGGCGGCAUCCUGGACCGGCAUUGACGCUGAGGCGCGAAAGCCAGGGGAGCAAACGGG